UGAGGAAUAUUGGUCAAUGGGUGCAAGCCUGAACCUGCCAUCCCGCGUGAAGGACGACUGCCCUAUGGGUUGUAAACUUCUUUUGUAUAGGGAUAAACCUACCCUCGUGAGGGUAGCUGAAGGUACUAUACGAAUAAGCACCGGCUAACUCCGUGCCAGCAGCCGCGGUAAUACGGAGGGUGCAAGCGUUAUCCGGAUUUAUUGGGUUUAAAGGGUCCGUAGGCGGACUUAUAAGUCAGUGGUGAAAGCCUGUCGCUUAACGAUAGAACUGCCAUUGAUACUGUAAGUCUUGAGUAUAUUUGAGGUAGCUGGAAUAAGUAGUGUAGCGGUGAAAUGCAUAGAUAUUACUUAGAACACCAAUUGCGAAGGCAGGUUACCAAGAUAUAACUGACGCUGAGGGACGAAAGCGUGGGGAGCGAACA
rnacentral:rRNA from 1 species